AUGACAUGUAGGACCCAUUUGUCAAUAGCUCUGGUUUAUCUUCUCACUGCCCACACCCUGCCGCCGGAGGUCUGGCUAUCUCCAUCCACUCGCCGCCCGCCUGCAUCCUCACCUCCGCCGUUCCCAUCCUAUCGCCGCUCGUUCUCCCACUGCCACCGGCCAGUGCUCGAGAUCAGGUAGCAGCAGGCAAGAGCUGAGCGGAGGAGCUGCGACGCCCGGCAGCUGAGCGGUGAGCAGGCCGCUGCUCGGGGCCGGCGGCUCAGGCAUCGCAGCUUGGCCGUCGCGGCGUGGAGGAGCUGUGGCGCGCAGUUCGCCCGGCUCGUGCCGGCGCCGUGGAGGACCAGGAGCAGGGGAUGGCCGCGACGGUGGCCAGCGCAACGGCGUGAAGGAGCAGGGACCCAGAUGGCGUCCAGCGCGGCGGCAUGAAGGAGAAGGGCCCGAUGGCAGCCUGUGCGACGGCGCGAAGGAGCUGGCGUGGCGAGCACGCGUGGCGAGGGCCGGCAAAGGAGCGCAAGGACAUGCGAGCAGGGAGCGGAAGGAAGGAGAAGAUGUCGAGUAGGGCCUCCCCAAGGACCCGCGGGAGACGGAGCUGGAGGAGAAAUUUAGGUGCCUCCUACUAUAGGGAUUCGAGUAGGAGACUUUCUGGGUUUUUGAGCUUUUAGUCUCUAAUUUAAAAGUAGGGACCUAAAUAGGGUUUUUAUUGGAGUUGCUCUUAUGUAUAUAUAUAUUUUGUCCAACUUGAUCAGUAAUAUUGCAUGUACUAUAUAGUCCAUGCUGUGCUUUUCAUGUACCAA